GACGAACGCUGGCGGCGUGCCUAAUACAUGCAAGUCGAACGCAGGGGGGACGGGUGAGUAACACGUGGGUAACCUCCCAUCAGAGGGGAUAACACUUGGAAACAGGUGCUAAACCGAUACUGAUGGAUGGACCCGCGGUGCAUUGACUAGUUGGUGAGGUAACGGCUCACCACGGCCACGAUUCAUACCGGUCCGGAGACGGUGUUCUGCAACAUCGGGACUGAGGCACGGCCCAGACUCCUACGGGAGGUAGCAGGAGUGAAUCUUCGGCAAGGGACGAAAGUCUGACCGAGCAACGCCGCGUGAGUGAAGAAGGUUUUCGGGUCGUAAAACUCUGUUGUUAGAGAAGCGGUAUCUAACCAGAAAGCCACGGCUAACUACGUGCCAGCCGCCGCGGUAAUUC
rnacentral:rRNA from 1 species